AAUGCACACAUCCCCACGUAAGCAAACGAGUCCACCAACAUUCUUCUAUGGCCCAUAAAUUAAUUGUAUUACCAUUAAAAGUUUAAGCCCCAAAAAACUUAGUUAAUUAAUUGUUAACCCAUGUAUCGGAGAGAACGUCACGGCUUUGAUCUCGGCUCAUACACAGUGGAGCCAACUCAACGAUAUAUAGACUAAAGUUUGAUCUGUUUUUACUAGUUGAAUCCCUAGAAAUUCAUUACAUUCAAUGGUUACUAUGGUGACACACGGACACGGAGAGGGUUCUCAUGAAUUUUGUUAAUUACAUAUAUAAUAUGAACUUGUUGGGACUAGUAUUCACAUUCCUUUUUUCGUUUGCUCUUCUCUUUCUUUUUUUCACU